GCCUGCGCUUUCCCGCCCCCGCGCUCUCCUUGUCUCUGUGGUAGAAGACUGUCAGCCUCUCUUUCGCAUAUUUGAACUGCCAGCAUCACUCCUUGUGCACUCUGGGGCCAUUAUUAAAUAAAACAAGAAUUUCUUGAA